UGGCUGAUCGACGAUUGAAAAUUAUUCUAGGGUAUAACCGUCAAUUCGAUUGAUGAUUAACCUUGCACAAAGGUUGUAAUAAAUUAAUUCACUAAUAGUUGAUAAAUUAUAAAAAGAUUGAUUAGCGAUUAGAUUACUAAUUAGCUCAAUUUGAUUAAGCAUUGAGGUUUGGAUCAAGUCUAAUUGAAUUAGAUUCAAUUAGGUUUGAUUCGAUUAGGUUAUAAGAUGACCU
rnacentral:lncRNA from 1 species